rnacentral:rRNA from 1 species
GACGUAGGGGGCAAGCGUUGUCCGGAAUCAUUGGGCGUAAAGCGCUCGUAGGUGGAUCGGUAAGUCUGCAAAGAAAGACCCGGGCUCAACUCGGGGAACGGUGUGGAUACUACCGAUCUUGAGGCAAUCAGAGGAUGAUGGAAUUCCCGGUGUAGCGGUGAAAUGCGCAGAUAUCAGGAGGAACACCGGUGGCGAAGGCGGGUCUCUGGGCAGUAACUGACGCUGAGGAGCGAAAGCGUGGGGAGCGAACAGG